rnacentral:rRNA from 1 species
GAUGAACGCUGGCGGCGUGCCUAAUACAUGCAAGUCGAGCGAACGGACGAGAAGCUUGCUUCUCUGAUGUUAGCGGCGGACGGGUGAGUAACAUGUGGAUAACCUACCUAUAAGACUGGGAUAACUUCGGGAAACCGUAGCUAAUACCGGAUAAUAUUUUGAACCGCAUGGUUCAAAAGUGAAAGACGGUCUUGCUGUCACUUAUAGAUGGAUCCGCGCUGCAUUAGCUAGUUGGUAAGGUAACGGCUUACCAAGGCAACGAUGCAUAGCCGACCUGAGAGGGUGAUCGGCCACACUGGAACUGAGACACGGUCCAGACUCCUACGGGAGGCAGCAGUAGGGAAUCUUCCGCAAUGGGCGAAAGCCUGACGGAGCAACGCCGCGUGAGUGAUGAAGGUCUUCGGAUCGUAAAACUCUGUUAUUAGGGAAGAACAUAUGUGUAAGUAACUGUGCACAUCUUGACGGUACCUAAUCAGAAAGCCACGGCUAACUACGU